GAAUAGACCGAUACACAUUCAUAUUUUUUCUGGACUUAUAAAGAAUGAAUUAAAUUGAUUAAUUAAACAAAACUAAACUAAAAUUAAACUUAGUUUGGUUAAAUUGGAUAACAAAAAUUGGUUAAUAUCCACUACUAAAAAACAGGCAAAUAGCGACGGAUAUUGGCGACGGACGCCAAAUCCGUCGCUAUUUGAUAACAUUUGCGACGGAUAUAGCGACGGACUCACAAUCCGUCGAUAAUAUAACUUAGCGACGGACAGUCCGUCGCUAUUCCGUCACCAAGUUGGCGGGAACGUGGCGGGAAGACUUGGCGCUGAUUUUUGGUGCCAAUUUUAGCGACGGAUUUACUUUUCCGUCGCUAAGUUGAAGGCGGGAAUAAUUGGCGUUUAAGUUUUGUCCCAAAUUUAGCGACAGAUUUAAUCAUCCGUCGCUAAUGCACUAAUGUGUCAAAACGCUGAGUUUUGAACCACUAUUUAGCGACGGAAUCUCCUGUCCGUCGCUAAGUUUUGUAAAUCAAACGUUGCGUUUCAUUUAAGUUCAAUUUUGGCGACGGAUUUCGAUAUCCGUCGCUAAAAUUAAACCUAAAUGAAACGCAGCAGCGUCUUCUUCCUCAUUCAGCAGCAGCAGCAGUUAGAAAAAAAAAACGCAGCAGCGAUUCGUUUCUCCAUCAUUUUAACCGGCGAUUCCUCCAUCUUUUAACCGACGAUUCGUUUCUCCAUCAUUCAGCAGCGUCUUCUUCGUUUUGGCUUCCUCACUGGCGUUUCCCACUAUUGCCGUUGCCUUGCCGCCGCCUCCGUCUGCUGUGCUUGUCGGCUCCGUUUCAGUCAGAUAAGUUUCCACCUCGUUGUCGUCCGCCCACCUCCGAUUCCGCCUAGCUGCCGUCAUUCGUUCCCCACUGGUUUGAUAGCCGUCGCUAAAAUUGAACUUAAAUGAAUUUUAGUUCUUCACGGACAUCACAGCAGGCGGAUGAGGAGGUCGAGCGCCGUGUGCAGGCCGGCAUCCAGGAGGGCCUGCGGCAGGUUGAGCAGCGGUUGGCGGCGCAGCAGGCCAGCAUGGCACAGAUGAUACGUGAUGAGAUUGCACGGAUGAUGCCGAAUCUCACACCAGAGUAUCAGCCACAGUUUCCCCCUCCUCCGCCAGACGGUGGCGACACUACAGAUUUGUAGUUUCCUGUUUAUUUUGUUUUCUAAAAUAUAUUAUGUACGAAGU